GUGAAUUUUAGGGCGUCUCACUACGAAAGUAGCUUGAGGGCCUGACCUCCACUCUCUAACACUUGUGCACUCAAAAAAUUAGUGUAUUGAAAGGGUUUCCCUUACGGGAAGCUUGAUUAUUUCACUUUUUUCAUUAUUACAAUACUCCAACAGUUAAAGAAUGAAACCAAAACCAUAACAAAAU
rnacentral:misc_RNA from 1 species